CUCAAGGCCAUUUGCUUGAGUCCUGGGGUCGCUGGGCAGAGGUUUCAGGAGCAGAAGCUACCAAAUAUUGUCAGCCUGACCUGCCCAGAGAAAGAACCGCGCAGAGCCCUGGAUGGGCCCUGCAGUCCCUGGACUCAGUCUCACCUCUGUACCAUUUUGGUCCUCACCCACGGCCCAGGCUGCUCUGGCAGCUUCUGUGGCAGCCCUGGAGGCAUUCAAAAGAUGGCAUGUGGAGAAGUUCCAGACUGUUUUCCAGACACUGGUAUUACAGGUUUGACAAGGAUGUGAAAAAUCACAGCCUGUAGGCCAAACCCAGCCCUGAGGCCUGCCGAUGCCCAGAAGUGGAAGAUGGCUCAGAGAGUAUAACUCCUGCUAAUCCCUAGAGCAAAUCUGGCUUACCAGGAGCAGUGGGGACAGGCUAAAGGCUCAGAGCAAAGAUAUUUGCUGAGAGGACGAAUGAGUAGAAGGAAGGUAGUGGGUCUGCGCUGGAUGGGUGAACUCGAGGCCCCGGACAUCCCAGGAGACAGGCCCGCAGAAGUGGGAAUCAGCUUGCUAAAGCCAGUGGUUCAGACGGAAGGGGCCGAUGGGAAUCCAGAAGGGACAAAGGACCAAGGCCUCAGCAUGCUGACAGAACGUCACUUCUAACCUUUGACCUGAGCAUGCUGGGUGGCAGUCCUGUGGUCUGG